GAGAUGUACAAUGACCUGUUUUGCUGUUGUCGGGUGGAUCACGAUGCAAUUUUGAUUAGUACAAUAGGAGAAAAAUUGCACGGUAUCCAUCUGUAAACCGCAGGACCUUUGUUGGCAGCAUUCUU
rnacentral:pre_miRNA from 14 species